GUUUCAUAAGUUUGUUUCCUCCCUAGCCACAAUGCUACUGGUAUGGUUUGCCUGGCUGUCCAAGGAACUUGAGCCCGGUUUGUGGAACUGAUGGGCGCACAUAUCCCAAUGAGUGUGUGCUUUGCCUUGCCAACAGGGAAAAUAGUAGAGAUGUCAAAAUUAGAUGGAAGGGAUACUGCUAAUUGGUAGUAUUAAAUUUUGAAGAAUAUGCAACAGAUGAAAGCCAAUCUGAAGAGAAAUGUCUUAAAUUUGCCUGCUAAGUAGUUUUAUCUUAAACAUGCAUAUUUUGUUCUUAUACCACUUUUGAAUAGACCUAAUGCCAUUAUUUUAUUAAAAUUGUAGCUGUUUAUGAA